AACGCGAAGUUUUUGAUUCUAUGAUUUCGUCCCAUUAUCUUCUCCUUCGAUGAUCUCAGAUACUAGCUAUGGAGUUUUGAGAUUUUCAAUCCACGUGAUGAUUUGUUUUGUAGAUCUUCAAUUCGAUGUUUUGCCCUCUCUUCUAUCAACGGAAACGUUAACUGUAAUUGAUUUUUACUCCCUGCUCUAUCACUCGGAAUGUGCAUAUAUACAUCGCAGCGUCGUUUUCGUAUUAGGGUUUUGCGCUUAGCUUUCGUCUCCGCCAUACCAUGUCGAGACAGAACCAGAGUUUCCUUAUCGCGGAUCUUUCACCUUCUUCCUUCCCGUAUGGCGGUCAUUGGAACUAGGGUUCAUCCUGUUCUUCGUUCUGUUGCUAACCAAAGCGACAAUGGUGUAUUCAACAAUAUAUUUGCGAGACGAUUCCCUGGAUUGGGCUUUCUUCAUGUCGUUUCGUCUUCGUUUUUCUCUUUGGAACCGUUACAGGACCAACUUAUUCACAGCCGUUCUUAGAUUCGACCCACGCUGCAACCACGAUUUCUCAUUCAUUGUAUCUUUCUCACUUCAAGGCGGUGCAUCUCCAACUAUAAAAAGGUUUCAGUGAUCAACAUUUUUUUACAGAGCAAAACAGAGUCCAUGAACGGAAAUUUAAGAGGAGGAUCAGAAACUGAGUCUUCAUCAAGCCUUCAGUCUAAUAGCUUACGAAGACCAGGUUCUGCACCCGAAGGAUCGGACAAACAAUAAUCAAGAUGCACAUAAAGAGGUGAUGAGAGCUUCAGAGACGCUAGACAAUCUGCUUCCUAACAUUAUCUUCAAGUGAUAUUGAUGAAAAGCUCAAGCAUCUAUUCUGUGGCAUAUCCACUCCCAAACGACUUAUUUGACAUGGAGAAGGAGCUGCAGAAGAUUGGUUUUAAGCCGGGACAAAGGAUAACCUUUAGUGGACAAUUCUUAACUAUCAGAACACAGUGGCACAAGUGGUGGAACUUCUUGGAGAUGAGGAUACUGCAGCUGAUUUACGAUACGAUGUUGGUCUGGGAAGCAAUAUUUAUCUUAAUAUUAUUCUGUGCCUCAACUUGACACCACUAGAAGACAGUACAUUCCCGAACAAUAAGUUGUUGAUAUUAUCAAUGGUUAUACAGCGACGAGCUCCAUGUAAGUUUUCUCAACCGUUUUGGACUGUUUCAGCAAUAGAUUUGUAUGAACAGUAUAUGAACAUGGUUUGUUCCAAAUCAAUAUUAAUUUUAAAGCUUAAAGCUUCCUGAAGAAAAUACUCAAGUGUCAUAAAGUAAUUUACCUAGGAUUUCAUGUUGGUUAUAAAGAUUACAUAUUAGCUAUGUUUGAGAGAUUCAAGACUUUUGGAGAAGCGAAUUCGAGGUUUAGAGAUAUGAGUCUGGCUUAGGAUGUGAGCAAGCGCCAGUAACAGACUUGGUUGCAUUGAAACUAACAAGAAAGUGAAAAGAUACUGGCUUGGUCUCAAUGAGUUUGCAGAUUUGAGCCACGAAGAAUUCAAGAACAAGUAUUUGGGCUCAAGACUGAUAUAGAAAGAGGCGAUGAUGAAAGAUCCUAACAAGAGUUCACUUAUAAGGACGUUGACGUAGAAGCUUUGCCUAAAUCUGUUGACUGGAGAAAGAAAGGAGCUGUGCGCUAUGUCAAGAACCGAAACUCUUGCGUUACUGCAGUGGAAGGUAUAAACAAGAUUGUGACAGGAAACUUGGAAACAUUCUCUGAACAUGAACUCAUAGACGGUCAGUCUGUGACACAACUUACAACAAUGGUUGCAAUGGUGGUCUCAUGGAUUAUGCUUUUGAGUAGAUCUCAAGAACAGAGGUGUUCACAAGGAAGAGGAUUAUCCUUACUCCAUGGAAGAAGGAACUUGCUAGAGGCGAAAGGUUUUUAUGUUACUGCGAAAAAGGGAUUAAUUGGUCAUACUAAUUCUCUUUGUUUUUAAACAGGAUGAUCCUGAAAUGGUGACCAUCAGUGGGCACCAAGAUGUACCAAGAAAUGAUGAUAAUUCUCUUGAAAGCAUUGGCUCAUCAACCUCUCAGUGUCGCUAGGGAGUUCCAGUUCAUAGUGGUGUGUUUUUUGAUGGGGGACGCGGGGUGAACACGAACCAAGGUGUUGCUGUAGUUGGGUAUGAAUCAAGCAAGGUUCAGAUCAUUGUGAUUUUUUUUUUACCAACAUGGGGAGAGAAAGGUUGCAUCAAGAUGAAGAGGAACACUUAUAAACCAGAGGGUCUCUCUGUGAAAUCAAUAAGAUGGCUUCUUUCCCCACUAAAAUAAAGUGAUAAUAUCAUUUUAUCUUAUCUGCAUUUGAUCACUAUCUUCAUAACAACAUAAAAUUGUUAUUUUAAGAAAUAGAAAUGUUGUAACAACUUUGUACAAUAACAACAGAAAAGAUGAUUGAAAAAGUGGAAAGCAUUAUUAAAAUGA